AUUGAACGCUGGCGGCAGGCCUAACACAUGCAAGUCGAGCGGGGUUUUCGGACCUAGCGGCGGACGGGUGAGUAAUGCGUAGGAAGCUACCCGAUAGAGGGGGAUACCAGUUGGAAACGACUGUUAAUACCGCAUAAUGUCUACGGACCAAAGUGUGGGACCUUCGGGCCACAUGCUAUCGGAUGCGCCUACGUGGGAUUAGCUAGUUGGUGGGGUAAUGGCUCACCAAGGCGACGAUCCCUAGCUGGUUUGAGAGGAUGAUCAGCCACACUGGAACUGAGACCCGGUCCAGCCUCCUACGGGAGGCAGCAGUGGGGAAUAUUGGACAAUGGGCGCAAGCCUGAUCCAGCCGUGCCGCGUGUGUGAAGAAGGCCUUCGGGUUGUAAAGCACUUUCAGUAGGGAGGAAGAGUUGAGUGUUAAUAGUACUCAGCUUUGACGUUACCUACAGAAGAAGCACCGGCUAACUCUGUGCCAGCCGCCGCCGUAACAC
rnacentral:rRNA from 1 species